GUACCGAGCUGCUUCGAAACAGCGAACCGAAGCGAAGCGGCUCACUCGUCACUCCCACUGAACUCCGGCCAGCCAUUGCCGUGCAGUGUGCUGUUAAGUGAAAGUGUGUGAAGGAAUGUGUGCGCUCUUGAGCAUUGGUUUGUGGCCAAGGUAAAAUAGUUCAGUGGAAACUCUACCUGAAGCCAGUUUUCAAUAGCCCAGCAGUUAUAAUGGGAUAUCCGCCGGCCUCCCAUCAGACUCCUUGACGUGAAGCGUGGCUGAUACGAUCGUGUACCCACACUGGGCUGCUGCAUUCGCACGCCAGUGAUUGCUACGGAGUCACUGCAGGACAGGACACAAAGCAGCUAACAAAAGAAUAUGACGGAGGAGCAAGACCCGAGUUUUCUUGCUUGAUUGUGACGGUGAGUGGUGGAGACGGAUGGACCCAAGCCCAGGUACGAAGAAAAACAGUCACAGUAAACGGAUUUAAUAGUGCUGGAAGAGGGUACGUGGAGCAGUGAGGAGAGUUUGAGAUCUACGUAGUAAGGGGAAGAAACAUUGAAAGCAGUAAGGGAAAAGGAAAAAGAAAUUCAAAAGAUGUAGUUGCAAUUUAAGGAAAAAAAUGAAAACAUGAACAUGAAAUCCAUUGCGUAUUUAAUUUCCACACUUCGCCUUGAAGUAACGCACUGCAGUGUUUCCUUAUUACAAAAGUCUGUUUUUUGGAAUCUACAUUGCCAUCUCGUAAUGGUUCGUGAGAUAUCAAAGAUUAUUGAUAAAUUUGCUUUUAGUGAUUUUUUAUGUGAAAUUUUCAAGCCCUGAGUCUUCUUUGUCUAGA